AGGAGCUUAGGAUAACCAAACCGAGAGCCUUCAAAGCCCUAAACAAGAGUUCAACCUCUUAGCCCCUG
rnacentral:tRNA from 1 species